rnacentral:rRNA from 1 species
GAUGAACGCUGGCGGCAGGCUUAACACAUGCAAGUCGAGGGGCAGCGGUAUCGUUAGCUUGCUUUUGGUAGCCGGCGACCGGCGCACGGGUGAGUAACGCGUAUCGAACCUGCCUCAUACUCGGGAAUAGCCUUGCGCAAGUAAGAUUAAUGCCCGGUGUUUUCAGAGUCCCGCCUGAGGCUUUGAACAAAGAUUUAUCGGUAUGAGAUGGCGAUGCGUCUCAUUAGCUUGUUGGCGGGGUGACGGCCCACCAAGGCAUCGAUGGGUAGGGGUGCUGAGAGGAAGGGACCCCGCAAUGGGACUGGGGCCCGGGCCAAACUGCUACGGGAAGCAGGAGUGAGGAAGAAUGGGCAAGGGGCGGAAACCUGAACCAGCCAAGGAGGGUGCAGGAAUACGGGCCUGCGGGUUGUAAACUGCUUUGAGUAGGGAAUAAGACGGGGGUCUGGAGCCCCCUUGAAGGUACCAUCAGAAAAAGGACCGGCUAAUUCCGUG